UACGGAGGGGGCGAGCGUUAUUCGGAAUUAUUGGGCGUAAAGGGCGCGUAGGCGGCUUGUUAAGUCAAAGGUGAAAUCCCUCGGCUCAACUGAGGAAUUGCCUUUGAAACUAGCGAGCUUGAGGCCGGGAGGGGGUAGCGGAAUUCCCAGUGUAGCGGUGAAAUGCGUAGAUACUGGGAGGAACACCAGUGGCGAAGGCGGCUACCUGGACCGGUACUGACGCUGAGGCGCGAAAGCGUGGGUAGCAAACAGG
rnacentral:rRNA from 1 species